rnacentral:tRNA from 2 species
GGUUGUGUAGUGUAGUGGUUAUCACUCCAGAUUUUGAUUAGUUCUGGGAACCCCGGUUCGAGCCCGGGCACGACCU